rnacentral:rRNA from 1 species
GACGAACGCUGGCGGCGUGCCUAAUACAUGCAAGUCGAGCGAAGUUUUUCUGGUGCUUGCACCGGAAAAACUUAGCGGCGCACGGGUGAGUAACACGUAAAGAACCUGCCUCAUAGACUGGGACAACUAUUGGAAACGAUAGCUAAUACCGGAUAAUAGCAUUAACUGCAUGGUUGAUGUUUAAAAGUUGGUUUUGCUAACACUAUGAGAUGGCUUUGCGGUGCAUUAGCUAGUUGGUGGGGUAAAGGCCUACCAAGGCGACGAUGCAUAGCCGACCUGAGAGGGUGAUCGGCCACACUGGGACUGAGACACGGCCCAGACUCCUACGGGAGGCAGCAGUAGGGAAUCUUCCGCAAAGGGCGAAAGCCUGACGGAGCAACGCCGCGUGAGUGAAGAAGGAUUUCGGUUCGUAAAGCUCUGUUGUUAGGGAAGAAUGAUUGUGUAGUAACUAUACACAGUAGAGACGGUACCUAACCAGAAAGCCACGGCUAACUACGUG